rnacentral:rRNA from 1 species
UACGGGGGGAGCAAGCGUUGUUCGGAUUUACUGGGCGUAAAGGGCGCGUAGGCGGCCACCGCAAGUCGGUUGUGAAAUCUCCGGGCUUAACCCGGAAAGGUCAACUGAUACUGCGGGGCUAGAGUGCAGAAGGGGCAACUGGAAUUCUCGGUGUAGCGGUGAAAUGCGUAGAUAUCGAGAGGAACAUCUGCGGCGAAGGCGGGUUGCUGGGCUGACACUGACGCUGAGGCGCGAAAGCCAGGGGAGCGAACGGG